rnacentral:rRNA from 1 species
UCUAUUCCUUUCUAUCUUCAUAACACACCUGUGCACCUAUUGUAGAUCUUUACUGAUCUAUGUCUUAACCUCACACUACAAUGUAUGUCCUUUGAAUGUAUUUAAAUCUUACAACUUUCAGCAAUGGAUCUCUUGGCUCUUGCAUCGAUGAAGAACGCAGCGAAUUGCGAUAAGUAAUGUGAAUUGCAGAUUUUCAGUGAAUCAUCGAAUCUUUGAACGCACCUUGCGCUCCUUGGUAUUCCGAGGAGCAUGCCUGUUUGAGUGUCAUUUGAUUAUCAANCUAGUCAACUUGAAGUUACUAGGCUUGGACUUGGGAUUUGCUGGCUUUCAGUAGUCAGCUAUCCUUAAAUGUAUUANCGAGUGAAAUCUUGACGUGCACGGCCCUCUGACGUGAUAAUGAUCGUUGGUGGGCUGGAGCAUCAUUAGGAAGCUUGCUUUGAAGUCUUGACAUGCGAGUGUCAUUUAAUUAUAUCUUGACCUCAAAUCA